rnacentral:rRNA from 1 species
UACGUAGGGCGCAAGCGUUAUCCGGAAUUAUUGGGCGUAAAGAGCUCGUAGGCGGUCUGUCGCGUCUGCUGUGAAAACUCAGGGCUUAACCCUGAGCUUGCAGUGGGUACGGGCAGACUAGAGUGCGGUAGGGGAGACUGGAAUUCCUGGUGUAGCGGUGAAAUGCGCAGAUAUCAGGAGGAACACCGGUGGCGGAAGGCGGGUCUCUGGGCCGUAACUGACGCUGAGGAGCGGAAAGCAUGGGGGAGCGAACAGG